AGCAGCCGCGGUAAUUCCAGCUCCAAUAGCGUAUAUUAAAGUUGUUGCAGUUAAAAAGCUCGUAGUUGAAUUUCGGGAUCAAUGGGUUGGUCAUGCCCUCGGUAUGUACUGAUUUCAUUGGUUCUCACCUUCUAAGGAACCAUGAUGUCAUUUAUUUGAUGUUGUGGGAAAUUAGGACUGUUACCUUGAAAAAAUUAGAGUGUUUAAAGCAGGCUAACGCUUGAAUACAUUAGCAUGGAAUAAUGAAAUAGGACAUCCGAUUCUAUUUUGUUGGUUUCUAGGAUCGAUGUAAUGAUUAAUAGGGAUAGUUGGGGGCAUUAGUAUUCAAUUGUCAGAGGUGAAAUUCUUGGAUUUAUUGAAGACUAACUACUGCGAAAGCAUUUGCCAAGGAUGUUUUCAUUAAUCAAGAACGAAAGUUAGGGGAUCGAAGACGAUCAGAUACCGUCGUAGUCUUAACCAUAAACUAUGCCGACUAGGGAUCGGAUGAUGCUUAUUUUUUAAUGA
rnacentral:sRNA from 1 species